rnacentral:rRNA from 1 species
UACGUAGGGUGCGAGCGUUAAUCGGAAUUACUGGGCGUAAAGCGUGCGCAGGCGGUUUUGUAAGCCAGAUGUGAAAGCCCCGGGCUCAACCUGGGAAUGGCAUUUGGGACUGCAAGGCUUGAGUGCGGCAGAGGAGACUGGAAUUCCUGGUGUAGCAGUGAAAUGCGUAGAUAUCAGGAGGAAUACCGAUGGCGAAGGCAGGUCUCUGGGCUGACACUGACGCUCAUGCACGAAAGCGUGGGAGCAACGAGG